GGUCACUGCUAUCGGUGUUCGAUUAAGCCAUGCGAGUCGUGAGGUAACUCGGCGGAGUGCUCAGUAGCACGUGGACAACCUACCCAAGAGUCAGGGAUAACCCCGGGAAACUGGGGAUAACACCUGAUAGGCCACGACAUCUGGAAUCAGUUGUGGUUUAAACGUAAGGCUCUUGGAUGGGUCUGCGGCGGAUUAGGUUGUUGCCGGUGUAACGUACCAGCAAGCCUGUAAUCCGUACGGGUUGAGGGAGCAAGAGCCCGGAGAUGGAUUCUGAGACACGAAUCCAGGCCCUACGGGGCGCAGCAGGCGCGAAAACUCUACAAUGCAGGCAACUGCGAUAGGGGAACAUCGAGUGGCAUCCACCAUGGAUGUCUGUCCAAUCGUCUAAAAAACGAUGUCACAAGGGCCGGGCAAGACCGGUGCCAGCCGCCGCGGUAAUACCGGUGGCUCGAGUGGUGGCCGAUAUUAUUGAGUCUAAAGGGUCCGUAGCCGACUUUGCAAGUCCUAUGGGAAAUCCAGCGGCUUAACCGUUGGGCUUUCAUGGGAUACUACAUUGCUUGGGACUGGGAGAGGUAGGAGGUACUCAGGGGGUAGGGGUGAAAUCCUGUAAUCCUUUGGGGACCACCGGUGGCGAAGGCGUCCUACCAGAACAGGUCCGACGGUGAGGGACGAAAGCUAGGGGCACGAACCGGAUUAGAUACCCGGGUAGUCCUAGCCGUAAACGAUGCUCGCUAGGUGUCACGGCAGUCGUGAAUUGUCGUGGUGCCGUAGGGAAGCCGUGAAGCGAGCCACUUGGGAAGUACGACCGCAAGGUUGAAACUUAA
rnacentral:rRNA from 1 species